UCUCUAUUGCCCUAUUUACCUUAUGCCUUUUUAAAUUUUUAUUGGAUAAACUCUGCCCUUUUGACCGAUUGCAACACUUUUGUACGUCACUCGCCUACUUAUAGUAGGAUGUUGUCGAUCUCUGUCCUGUUUAUUCACGAAACCUCUAUCCUUUUUCGUACGAAUCUCUCAGCAGAGGAAGUGAGGUGAGAGAAGAUAAGAGAAGAAAAAUGUUGGAACUACGUGAGAAAACAAAUUCAUUCACAGUGAUUUGGAUGGAUCUUUCGUACGAAGCAUUCGGACGAAUAGAUUCUCAUCGAUUCAUCCUUCCAAUUUCCUAACAAAUCACAUUUUUCGAUUCGGAUAUCCAAUCCAUGCUCCUUCAGAUCCUCUCUUUGUUAUGUAUUUAAUAUGUCCUUUCUGGUUUUUAUCUUCUUGUAUAUUCGUCUAUGUAUUAUAACUUUAUAAGUACUGAGUUUUACGUAUUAUAAAUAGUGUCGUCUUUUGUAAAUAUAUCAGAGUAUAAUUAGAAUACACAUGAGCGUAUAAACAGUGUGUAGUUUCAUUCCUCCACGUCCUUCUUCCUCUCAUCUCUCCCGGUCAUCCUGGAUCUCUCCUAUUAUAAAUAAGAUUGUGUCUCUCCCUCGUCAAGACGCAACACUCUUCAACUUCAUGUUCAAGGGAUAUCUGCUCUUUAGAACUCAUUCGGUAAAUCUCAUCCCCUCUAAUGGAAGGGUCGCUCAAUGCGCAGAUGCUCCUUGACUUGACGGAGAAGGCGGUGUUAAGGGAGUCAUAUCCGUGCCUCUGACUGACUCCGUCUCCGCAAGAAAUAGAAUUUUUAAUCUUAGUCCAGGGAUAAAGUCAAGUCUCAAGCGGUGCUCCGCUUCAACUCAUGUUAUCCGUUAGGGAAAUAUCAACUGCUCUAGGCUCGUGAUUCCUACGUGGGUAAGAAAACUCUUUGGUUUUGUUAGAUUAUGGGUAGUGAUUUCAUUAAUUAUUCUAUCAAACGACUUUAUAUUUGGGGAUCCAUCCCAUGUAUUUAUGAGAAACGUUCGUUUGCAAAGAGUAAUUCACUUAUUCGUCUCUUUGCCUACGUUUUCCUGUUUCUUUGGAAAGAGUUUUGUCAUGCUCCUAUCCUCGGUUAGAUGGUAAUGUCAAAGAAGUUCAACCCUCGGAAUCUGUCUCUUUACCGAUCAAGGACUGAAUUACGAAUAAAAUGGAAGAGCGGAUAUCGUUUUGGAUCAAAAUCUUUCAAGAGAAUAUGAAUAUAUUUCAUUCAUGAAUUACUCUUAGAUACGUAGUGACGAAUUAUCAACUUAAAUAGAGUUGUUUAUAUGACAGUAAUUUCGAAGAGGUUUAAAGAAUGUUACUAAACAUUUCUUCCUACGAUAGUCAAAAUAAUUUUAUCGAGGAAUACUUAUUUCAUAGCUAAAUAAAGGCAACGACAACAGACACCAACAUCUAUCAAGAAUUUAUCUUCAUACAAUUUAUAGAUAUAUAGAUACUAUUUUUAUCAGAUACCUCUGAACUCUUGUGUAAAGGAAGAGACUAUCGAUGUUUUGAUCAUUUAUUUUUAAUUUCUAAGCAAUUUUGAAUUUCUUAAUCUUGAUUCAUACUUCUUAUCAAUUUUACGAUUAUAUAUUUUUUCAUAGAAUGGGAAUAUUUUAUAUAUAUAUGGUGAUAUCCAGAUGUUCCUUUUAAAUUUAUUUUUGUAUAUUGAAAUUAAAUUUAUUUAUUUAACCUAUAUUUUUUUCGUUAAGUUAGAAUUAUAAUUAUUUAUUUUACAAUCCAUGGUUUCUGGUUAAUUACAAAUUAGUUUAUUUAAGUUUAUUCGAUCACUUGUUUGGGUAUUUAAUAUUAACAAAGA
rnacentral:lncRNA from 1 species